rnacentral:lncRNA from 1 species
ACUUCUGGCCUUAAGUGAUCCUCCUGCCUUGGCCUCCCAAAGUGUGGGAUUACAGGCAUGAGCCACUGUGUCUGGCUGAAAUUGGAAUUCUAAAGAAUCAAAUUUUGCCCCAAUUUGCUGUGCUGCCUGUGCUUGGAAUAAACAUUUUGCAGCCAUACAGAAAUCAGAAGAUUUAUUGAGAAUACGGUACAUGCUCCUAGUGGGUAGAGAGGAAUCAGACAUAGCUCCCGCCGUCAAGGAGAUCUGAGUUUCAUGAUGAAGAUACAAAAAUGAAAAUGACUAUGUGUGGAAUGUGCUAAUAGUGAUAUGAGCAGGGCAAGCUCAAGGCACGAGGGAAGGUCAAAGGAAGCUUAUGAAAGAAAGAGAUUCUUCGGCAGUGUUAAGAUAAGUAAAUGGAGGGUCAGAGACACUGUUGGUUACCCAAGAUCGUAUUCCAGAUCACUGGUGAAGCCUGUUAGCAACUCCAAGCAUUUGAGCUAGGAUCUGCUACUUCUCAACACUAGGCUACAGACAUUCUCAGCAGUUAUCAUCUUACUGGGCUUAACAAUAAUGUACAAGGAACAUAACUGCAAAGUGGGCUACUGUGUCUCACAAGAUGAGAACAAAGGAAGUGCUGGAAGAGUUUCAAGUCUGGCUGCAGAAAGCUGGAAAGAUGACAGUCUACUUGGGAAAAUGAUACAAAAUGUCUGAAAAUUUAAGCAACUGCUCAAGACUCCUGUCUUAUGAGGGAAAGGAGGCGGGCUCCCUCACAAGACAUUAAGGCUGCCUGUGAGGGCUGUCACCAGUAGUGUUACUAAGUUAAGAUCCUAAUGUACAGUGUGGACACAUGAGUGUUUCUCUUUCUUUUACAAAUGCUGCUAAAGAACAUGCCCAUAGAGGAUAUUUGCAACACCUUAUAAACUAAACCUGACAAUAGGAAAGACCAUACAAAAAGUAUGUACCUUUUAACUUUUUUCCCUUAAGAAAGAAGUUCUAGGUAAGGUAAUCAGGUAAGAAAUUAUUCAAAUAAAAUUAGAAAAAUCAAAUAUUGCUCUGGUUAUACAUGUAAAAUAAUUGCAUUUAUUCAUUAAAAUAAUGCAUUGUAUGUAUUGAUCCAUCUAUAAUUUAUGAGGCACUGGGCAACCUAAUCAUGAAUUCACUCAGUCAUUUAUUGUGUCUGUUAUUUCAACCCACAUUAUUGAACUUCUGUUAUGUGCAAAGCUGUGGCCAGGGUGUGGAUUUCUCCAUGGAUAAGACAUAUUCUGUCCUAGAGAGGAGGCUAGAAAAACUACAGUUUAAUGAGCAGAUAUUAGAUGCUCUGUACUAUGCUAAGAAUUUUAUGCACAGUAUUUCAUAUGAAAAUUGUAAUAACUCUGUUAGGCAAGGCUUAUUGUAAUGUUCUUAGAGAUGGUGUAUUAGUCUGUUUUCACAUGGAUAAUAAAGAUAAUGAGAC